CCUACGGGAUGCAGCAGUGAGGAAUAUUGGUCAAUGGACGAGAGUCUGAACCAGCCAAGUAGCGUGAAGGAUGACUGCCCUAUGGGUUGUAAACCUCUUUUGUCGGGGAGCAAAGCGAGUCACGUGUGACUCAUUGAGAGUACCCGAAGAAAAAGCAUCGGCUAACUCCGUGCCAGCAGCCGCGGUAAUACGGAGGAUGCGAGCGUUAUCCGGAUUGAUUGGGUUUAAAGGGUGCGCAGGCGGAGGUGCAAGUCAGCGGUCAAAUUGCGGGGCUCAACCCCGUACUGCCGUUGAAACUGCAUCCCUUGAGUGCGCGAGAAGUAUGCGGAAUGCGUGGUGUAGCGGUGAAAUGCAUAGAUAUCACGCAGAACUCCGAUUGCGAAGGCAGCAUACCGGCGCGCAACUGACGCUCAUGCACGAAAGCGUGGGUAUCGAACAGGAUUAGAUACCCGAGUAGUC
rnacentral:rRNA from 1 species